GACGAACGCUGGCGGCGUGCUUAACACAUGCAAGUCGAACGGAAAGGCCCUGCUUUUGUGGGGUGCUCGAGUGGCGAACGGGUGAGUAACACGUGAGUAACCUGCCCUUGACUUUGGGAUAACUUCAGGAAACUGGGGCUAAUACCGGAUAGGAGCUCCUGCUGCAUGGUGGGGGUUGGAAAGUUUCGGCGGUUCGGGAUGGACUCGCGGCUUAUCAGCUGGUUGGUGGGGUAGUGGCUUACCAAGGCUUUGACGGGUAGCCGGCCUGAGAGGGUGACCGGCCACAUUGGGCCUGAGAUACGGCCCAGACUCCUACGGGAGGCAGCAGUGGGGAAUAUUGCACAAUGGGCGGAAGCCUGAUGCAGCAACGCCGCGUGCGGGAUGACGGCCUUCGGGUUGUAAACCGCUUUCGCCUGUGACGAAGCGUGAGUGACGGUAAUGGGUAAAGAAGCACCGGCUAACUACGUG
rnacentral:rRNA from 1 species